rnacentral:rRNA from 1 species
GCAGGUGGGCAAGCGUUGUCCGGGAAUUAUUGGGCGUAAAGCGCGCGCAGGGCGGUCCUUUAAGUCUGAUGUGAAAGCCCACGGCUCAACCGUGGAGGGUCAUUGGAAACUGGGGGACUUGAGUACAGAAGAGGAAAGCGGAAUUCCAAGUGUAGCGGUGAAAUGCGUAGAGAUUUGGAGGAACACCAGUGGCGAAGGCGGCUUUCUGGUCUGUAACUGACGCUGAGGCGCGAAAGCGUGGGGAGCAAACAGGAUUAGAUACCCUGGUAGUCCACGCCGUAAACGAUGAGUGCUAAGUGUUAGGGGGUUUCCGCCCCUUAGUGCUGCAGCUAACGCAUUAAGCACUCCGCCUGGGGAGUACGGCCGCAAGGCUG